rnacentral:rRNA from 1 species
ACGAACGCUGGCGGCAUGCCUAACACAUGCCAGUCGAACGAGACCUUCGGGUCUAGUGGCGCACGGGUGCGUAACGCGUGGGAACCUGCCCUUAGGUUCGGAAUAACUCCCCGAAAGGGGUGCUAAUACCGGAUAAUGUCUUCGGACCAAAGAUUUAUCGCCUUUGGAUGGGCCCGCGUUGGAUUAGCUAGUUGGUAGGGUAAAAGCCUACCAAGGCGACGAUCCAUAGCUGGUCUGAGAGGAUGAUCAGCCACACUGGGACUGAGACACGGCCCAGACUCCUACGGGAGGCAGCAGUGGGGAAUAUUGGACAAUGGGCGAAAGCCUGAUCCAGCAAUGCCGCGUGAGUGAUGAAGGCCUUAGGGUUGUAAAGCUCUUUUACCCGGGAUGAUAAUGACAGUACCGGGAGAAUAAGCUCCGGCGAACUCCGU